rnacentral:snoRNA from 1 species
CAAUGAUGAGAGUAUGCCAUAAAGCAAAGAUUGUAAUUCAUCAAAUUCUGUGCAUCUGAG